rnacentral:rRNA from 1 species
AGCGCAGGCGGGAAGACAAGUUGGAAGUGAAAACCAUGGGCUCAACCCAUGAAUUGCUUUCAAAAACUGUUUUUCUUGAGUAGUGCAGAGGUAGAUGGAAUUCCCGGUGUAGCGGUGGAAUGCGUAGAUAUCGGGAGGAACACCAGUGGCGAAGGCGGUCUACUGGGCACCAACUGACGCUGAGGCUCGAAAGCAUGGGUAGCAAACA